rnacentral:lncRNA from 1 species
AUUGAUCUCUAAUUAAAUCCAAGAUAUAAAGAGACAUAAAACAAAUUGGAAAAAACGUUACAAAAUUGCAAUUCACUGUUUUACACAAUAUUAUGUUGUAAAUUAAUAUAUUAGAUCCCGAAAUCAGUCAUAAAACGAAGUAGCGGUUUUAUGGGAGACAACAUCGAAACGAGACGAGCUGUACUUUGGGGCAGGUUUACAAAUACGUGGAUCAAUUCCAGGUUUAUCGUUCGGCAGCGGCGAUUGGUCGACUCUCGACGGUUCGGUUCUACAUAUAAAACAUAGUUACGCGUACAAAUGCGCGCAUACAUGUGUAGAAUCGUAUAUAAACAUAUAUCAUAUAUACAUAAUGAACAUGGAUUCUAUAACCCGGGUGUGUGUAUACCGCCAUAAUAAUUCAGUCUCGAACGUCGCUCUCUCCGCAGUGACCGCAACCUGCAAAGCUGACGAAACACGAGCAAAUCAACUGUCGCAGCUAUUUUCUGCCUAGUUACGUAAAUUAAUAUUAGAAACGAUACUGAAAUUAUUGUUUCAUCGAGACGGAUGCGGUGCGCACCGCGAUCCUGAGCCUAUCAACGUGACAACCAUGUUUCGACGGAUAUUGUGGAUUUCAGGUUAUGGAAAGGAUAAUGAUUUGUUGGAUAUUUGAUAAUGAUUGUUUGGAACAGAAUUAAGUGCUAUUGAAAUGAUGUUUCAUUCAAUUGAUUACAUAAUCGAUUACAAUAAGAUCGUUUUUGCAUUUGGUAUUUGUUAUAAUUAGUUCAGAUACUUUUAUCUAAAGCAUGUCAUCAAAUAAAAAAUCAUUUUCCAACAUAGACUAUAUCACAUAAUAAUCACUUUUGACCAAUGUGUGAUUGCGAUUACAACCUUUAAAUUAGAAAUUCGCCGCGAACGAGAAUUUCACGACCGUUGUAUACCACACAUGUGUACUACACGCAUCGCCGACGGUACUAGCUGUGGCAACGAUGGAAAACGGUGAUCGCAACAGCGGCACGCAAAGUGAGCCGACAAAGGCGUCUUAUCGCGGUUAAUUUAUAUUUCAAAAGGUUACUGGUACCAUCGAAAGAACGUAGAAACUCUCUCGGCGCUAUUCCACAAGAAAUUCUAUCUGUCGAAAGAUUUAUCAAUGCAUCCAAGAUGAUUUUGAGAAUUUUUCUUAUUAUUAAUUUUUUUCGUUGUAAUAUAUACAAAAUGGCGGACACUGGAACAUGUAAGCGCGGGUAAUUUGAUUUUUAUAUGAGCGUUCAAUAAGUUUAUGAAAAUUUUACCAAGCAGAUCCAAUCUCGACGUUCAAUUCCAUCGAACACAAAAUAUCAUGGUGAAACAUGUGCAACGUAUUAACGUUCUUAGGUUAAUCGAUCUCUGUGGAAGAUCGAGGCAAUUAACGCCAGUAUCGCCAGUCGAUGAUGAACAUUCGUCAUCCGAAGACCGGUUUCUAUCGGAUGAUUCACCAUCGUGGAUUCUAUAAAAUCCCACCAACAAUGUUCCUGUCAUGGAUUUUCUUUUGCUUUUACCACCUUUAAGUCUCGAAGGAUGACUGAAUGCUCAUUAUUAGUAACGUAGCGAUCCACGCUCCGCCAUUUUCUCAAUCAACAAUCGAGAUCAACCUCGAAGCCUUCUCUAACCUCAAACAUCGAUCAAUUCUCGUCAACGUUCCCGCAAAAGGGAACGCAACGCGUGGCACGACUUUUACAAAGUAGGGAUAAGUUCACCACACGCGGAUACACUCUCCACCACGACACUAUUCAAUUUCUCAUUCAGGAUAUCAUGCAUCAUCUUUUGAGCUUAAAAAUUAUCUCUUCGAUCUUCCAGGAUUUCCGUGGCAUGGCGUCUUGCACAAUCUUCUCGAAUCGUCAUAAAUCAUGUCGACGGAUUGCGUGGGCGGCUAUGGAACACGCUCUAACCCCCUUCCAAGUGAUGCAUAGUAACAUUUUACAGGAUUUUUACGCACCGUCACAAUUCAUCCGUUAAUGACACCGACACUGGUAAAAGUAUAAUAAUAAUAAUAAUUAUUAUUAUUAUCUUU